UCAGAUUCUCGAAAUUAAAAU
rnacentral:piRNA from 1 species